rnacentral:sRNA from 1 species
GAAACUGAAUUUUUAAUUUUGUUUUAGACUGGGCACAGUGGCUCACGCCUGUAAUCCUGACACUUUGGGAGGCCGAAGCAGGAGGAUUGCUUGAAUCCAGGAGUACGAGACCACCCUGGGCAACAUGGUGAAAUCCUGCCUCUAAAAAAAAAAACAAAGUAAUGAGCCCAGCGAGGUUAUGCGUACCUGUAGUCCCAGCUACGUGAGAGGCUGAGGUGGGAGGAAUCCCUUGAGCCAAGGAGGUCAUGCGUGGCUGUGAUGAGCUGUGAUCGUGCCACUAAAUUCUAGCCUGGGCGACAGAGCGAGACCCUGUCUCAAAAAAAAAAAAACCAAAAAACUUAAGAUUUUUUUUUGGAGUCAGGGUCUCGCUCUGUCGCCCAGGCUGGAGCACAGUGGUGUAACUAUAGCUCACUGCAGUGUUGAACUUCUGGGCUCAAACAAUCUUCCUGCCUUGGCCUCCCCAAAUGCUGAGAUUACAGGAGUGAGCCACUCUGCCCAGCUACUUUUAAUUAAAUAGCCACAUGUGUCUCCUGUAUUGACAGUGCCACUGUGUAUUGAGAGUAUGAGUCCCAGAUUGUGUAAGUUCAAAUCCAAGCUCUACCACUUCUCGGCUGGCUUGUGAUCCUGUGCAAGUUACUUUACCUCUCAGUGCCUCGGUUUCUACAUUUAUAAAAUAAUAACUGGGCAGGCACAGUGGCUCAUGCCUGUCAUCCCAACACUUCAGGAGGCCAAGGUGGGAGGAUCGCCUGAGGCCAGGAGUUGGAGAGCAGCCUGGGCAACAUGGGAAGAUCCUGUCUCUUGCGGGGGGGAAAAAAAAAGUUCUUGUCUCAGGCUAGCUUUGGGGACCAAAUGAAGCACUCCCAUGUAGGCACUCAAAUGGAACUAUGUAAACAUUAGGCAAGGCACCUCUGCCUCAGUUUCCUCAUCUCUAAAAUGGGGUGAUGGUAGUAUGUUAGCAGAGUGGUUGUGAGGAGUGAACGGGACAGUCCGUAUGCGGGUUAUAUGUAUAUAUUCCCAGGUGCUUGCUGUUACCAGGCCAUAUGGGUUAUUCACAGAUUGAAAUAUCUUAGCUGGGCACGGUGGCUCACCCCUAUAAUCCCAGCACUUUGGGAGACCGAGGCGGGUGGAUCACCUGAGGUCAGGAGUUCGAGACCAGCCUGGCCAACAUGGUGAAACCCUGUCUCUACUAAAAAAAUACAAAUAAAUUAGCUGGGCAUGGUGGUGGGUGCCUGUAAUCCCAGCUACUUGGGAGGCUGAGGCAGGAGAAUCGAUUAAACCCGGGAGGCAGAGGUUGCAGUGAGCCGAGAUCACACCAUUGCACUCCAGCCUGGGUGACAGAGUAAGACUCUGUCUCAAAAAAACAAAACAAAACAAAACAAAAAACCAGUUUGACUUUAUCUCCCUCGCCCUGCCUCCAUCCCCACAUUGCCCCCCACUGUCCCAGUCUCCUACUCCAGCCUUUCAUCUAGAGCUAACUGAUUAAAUAUUCUAAGAUGAUCUUCCCUGGUGUGUGUGAUGAUAAUUAAAAGGCAUUCAGAACUGUGUGGACCAGACUGAACCUCUGCACUCUAGAUUUUUUUUUUUUUGAAGCCUCUACAAAGAAGAAUUAAAAUUUACACCAUGACUCUUUGUCCUGGGGUGCACUGUCUGUAAGCCAGUGGAGUUAUUUCCCAAAAUCCUUGGUCCUUCCCAGCUUGAGGAAGUCUGCAGGACUGAGGGAGGGGACCUGUGCUUUUUUUUUUUUGUUUUUUUGAGAUGGAGUCUCUGUUGCCCAGGCUGGAGUACAGUGGGGCGAUCUCGGCUCACUGCACCCUGCACCUCCUGGGUUCAAGUGAUUCUCCUGCCUCAGGCUCCCAAGUAGCUGGGAUUACAGGCAUGUGCCACUGUCAGGCCUCUGAGCCCAAGCCAAGCCAUUGCAUCCCCUGUGACUUGCACAUAUACACCCAGAUGGCCUGAAGUAACUGAAGAAUCACAAAAGAAGUGAAAAGGCCCUGCCCCGCCUUAACUGAUGACAUUCCACCAUUGUGAUUUGUUCCUGCCCCACCUUAACUGAGUGAUUAACCCUGCGAAUUUCCUUCUCCUGGCUCAGAAGCACCCCCACUGAGCACCUUGCGACCCCCCACUCCUGCCCGCCAGAGAACAACCCCCUUUGACUGUAAUUUUCAAUUACCUUCCCAAAUACUAUAAAACGGCCCCACCCCUAUCUCCCUUCGCUGACUCUUUUCGGACUCAGCCCACCUGCACCCAGGUGAAAUAAACAGCUUUAUUGCUCACACAAA